CUACGUGCCAGCAGCCGCGGUAAUACGUAGGGUGCGAGCGUUAAUCGGAAUUACUGGGCGUAAAGCGGGCGCAGACGGUUACUUAAGCAGGAUGUGAAAUCCCCGGGCUCAACCUGGGAACUGCGUUCUGAACUGGGUGACUAGAGUGUGUCAGAGGGAGGUAGAAUUCCACGUGUAGCAGUGAAAUGCGUAGAGAUGUGGAGGAAUACCGAUGGCGAAGGCAGCCUCCUGGGAUAGCACUGACGUUCAUGCCCGAAAGCGUGGGUAGCAAACAGGAUUAGAUACCCUGGUAGUCCACGCCCUAAACGAUGUCGAUUAGCUGUUGGGCAGCUUGACUGCUUAGUAGCGAAGCUAACGCGUGAAAUCGACCGCCUGGGGAGUACGGUCGCAAGAUUAAAACUCAAAGGAAUUGACGGGGACCCGCACAAGCGGUGGAUGAUGUGGAUUAAUUCGAUGCAACGCGAAGAACCUUACCUGGUCUUGACAU
rnacentral:rRNA from 1 species